AUUGAACGCUGGCGGAAUGCUUUACACACGCAAGUCGAACGGUAGAGGGGGGCAACCCCUCGAGAGUGGCGAACGGGUGAGUAAUAUAUCGGAACGUGCCCAGUCGUGGGGGAUAACGUAGCGAAAGUUACGCUAAUACCGCAUACGAUCUACGGAUGAAAGCGGGGGAUCGCAAGACCUCGCGCGAUUGGAGCGGCCGAUAUCAGAUUAGGUAGUUGGUGGGGUAAAGGCUCACCAAGCCAACGAUUUGUAGCUGGUCUGAGAGGACGACCAGCCACACUGGAACUGAGACACGGUCCAGACUCCUACGGGAGGCAGCAGUGGGGAAUUUUGGACAAUGGACGCAAGUCUGAUCCAGCCAUUCCGCGUGCAGGAUGAAGGCCCUCGGGUGUAAACUGCUUUUGUACGGAACGUAAAGGUUUCUAUUAAUACUAGGAGCUCAUGACGGUACCGUAAGAAUAAGCACCGGCUAACUACGUG
rnacentral:rRNA from 1 species